UGUCCUGUAGCUUAGUUGGUUAAAGCACCGGACUACCGAAACAGAGUUGUGGGUUCGAAUCCCUCCAAAACAA
rnacentral:tRNA from 1 species